CCUGUUUAUCACAACAGUAACGGCAAGGUAAGAUCCUUUAAAGUUCACGAUAUGAUUCUUGAAUAUAUCGUGUCCAAAGCAGGCCAGGAAAAUUUUAUCACUGUCGUCGGCGGGCACUGGUUGAUGCCAACUCCUAGCAACAAAGUCCGUCGACUGUCUGUGCAGAGUAGUGGUUCUUAACAAGGGAAUCCAACAGAAGGCAUGGAUUUGUCUCAAGUACGGUCACUAACCGUAUUUGGAAGCCAAGACCGACCACUGCCUUUUCAUUCAUUCAAUAAUGGAAUAAUUCAAGUGUUUGAUCUGGAGGGUUGGAAGGGAUUGACAAAUAAACAUAUGGAGGACAUAUGUAAAAUGCUUGUACUGAAGUAUUUGAGCCUCCGCCGAACAGAGAUUUCCACGAUUCCAUCAGAGAUAGAGAAGAUCCAGGAUCUGGAAACUUUUGAUGCAAGGGAGACAAAUGUCGGAGAUCUACCCAAAACUUUUGGCAAUCUCAAACGGCUCCGCAGUUUGCUUGGGGGAAGUAAAAAAUCACGGAAGGCUUUGAAGAUGCCUCAAUAGAAAAAUAAGGUGACAAUGAAAGCACUUCGUGUACUGUCAGGGAUCGAGAUCAGUGAAGGCUCGACCACUGCUGCAAGUCUUGAUCAGCUAACUGGGCUAAGGAAACUUGCCAUUUACAAGCUCAAUAUUAUUGAGGGUCAAAAAACCUUCAUAGAUUUAUGCUCCUCCAUUCAGUACCUCUGCAGCUGCGGUCUACAGACACUUGCAAUCAAUGAUGAGAGCUCUAAUUUUAUCAACUCACUAGACUCCAUGUCUGCUCCUCCAAGAUACCUCAUUGGUCUGGAGCUGUCUGGCAUGUUGGAAAGGCCUCCAAAGUGGAUCGUGGAGCUCAAGAACCUCUACAAGCUGACCCUUUCUGUGACAGUUCUAAAGACUGAUACUUUCAAGCUCAUCCAGGACCUGCCCAAAUUGUUUUCUCUCACCUUUACACUCAAUGCAGCAAAGGAUGAUCGGGACAUCGUGGACAUCCUUGAGGAAAAUAAGCAGCUUGAUAGGGAGAUAAUUGUUCCUCCUGGAGGAUUCAAGAGUCUAAAGCUGCUUCGCUUCUUUGCAACUUUGGUGCCAAGGCUGAGCUUUGCAGUUACAGGAGAGGUAAUGCCACCACUCGAGAGGAUUGAUCUGCAGUUUCAGGCCUUCGAAGGGAUUUAUGGCAUCGAGACUCUUAGUAGUCUCCGAGAAGUGCAUCUCAGCGUUGAUAAUCAAGCCGAUGAGAUAACCAAGUUCUUGGUAGAAGAUUUGAAGGAUACCCCCAAGUAUUUAGAUAAGGAGUACGUGAGCAAGUGGCCAAAAAUAAUCACUGUUUGA
rnacentral:rRNA from 1 species